CGUGUAGGCGGCCUUCUAAGUCUGAUGUGAAAGCCCGGAGCUUACCUCCGGAAGUGCAUUGGAAACUGGAAGGCUAGAGUACCGGAGAGGAGGGUGGAAUUCCUGGUGUAGCGGUGAAAUGCGUAGAUAUCAGGAGGAACACCGGUGGCGAAGGCGGCCCUCUGGACGGCUACUGACGCUGAGACGCGAAAGCGUGGGGAGCAAACAGGAUUAGAUACCCUGGUAGUCCACGCCGUAAACGAUGGGCACUAGGUGUUCGGGGUAUUGACCCCCUGAGUGCCGCAGCUAACGCAUUAAGUGCCCCGCCUGGGGACUACGGCCGCAAGGUUAA
rnacentral:rRNA from 1 species